CCCUGUGCAGCACGCCAUGCCGUCUGCAGACACUCCGAUGCAGCUCACUCUGUUGUCGUGACCAGCCAGCACCCCUGGACCACCACAUGGAGGGAAAUGUCAUAUUUAGGCUACACUGGAAGCUCAAUAAUCAACCGUUUUACCUUUUUGUAUGUUCAGAUUCAGUGGCCAAAAUUCCCACUGUACCUUAAUGCAUCACACUAAUCCAAAUGACGUCGUAGUUUUCGCUGAUUGAACAGCAGUUGGCGCGCAAGAAAGUAAACUGGAAAAAGGUCGAAGUAAUAUCCGUGAAACUCAGAAAAUUCAGUAAAUAUUGUCGUUUGUUAAUAAUUUAUUAGCGAAUAGACGAUGGAAAUUUAAGAGGCGGUCGCGAGGAAAUUAUCCUUAGAUUGUCCCCAUUGAGCAUGAAAGCAAACAUGCUAACUGCUACCAUGCUAAUUGAAGUUGGAGAGUCCCAAAUGUUGACGUUGAAGUCAUCGUAACCGGCCAGAAUGAGGCGUCCGGACAGGGAUGGCGCCAGUGAGGUGACACCGCACAUGAUGCUGGAGUCCUGGUAGGUGAGGAGCUCCUGGUCAGCCCUCAGGUCGUACAGCUUACAGGAGGCGUCGUCUGAGCCUGUGAUGACUGCGUUGCCGUUGGGGAAGAACUUCAAAGAGAGGGAAGUGGUGCAGUCUCCAGAGCUAGUGAUGAUCUCUGUGUCGCUGAGGAAACGACAGCAGGAGAGGUAACCUGCAGCCAGCUCCCGCAUGACCUUUACGUUGCCGUCCUUGCCCUUGAGAUUGUAGAUGGAGCACAUGUUGUCGAGACCUCCGCAUGCCACAAGAUUGCCUGAAGGUUUCAACAGAUUGUGAAUUUGACUGCACUUUCCGACAGACUUGUACUUUGAAAGGUGGAAAAAAAAGAGGAACAGACACAAGGGGAGACCAAAAAAAAAAAUUUGCUCACAACAGGAAAUCCACUUUCACACGCUCACAGUUCAUCUUUGCCCGACGUCACACGUCCUCUCCCUCUGCUGGUCAUCUUAGCUGGAGCUUGAUUGCGAGCAUUCUUGAGCUCCUCCUUUUCAUCCUUCUUGGUCACAGCCUGUCCAUCGGCGGCCCAGGCUGUCUCCACCUCCUCUCGCUCCUGCAGGAAAGACAAUGCCAUUAAGGGUGAGGCCAUUCAGUGUCUCGUGAGGUGUGUGUGGCGACCGUCGCCCCCGGUAACCGUCUCCUGCAGACGCCACAGCCUAUGAAGAAACACCAGAAUGCAUUAAUGAGGCAAGA